rnacentral:rRNA from 1 species
UACGUAGGGUGCAAGCGUUACUCGGAAUUACUGGGCGUAAAGCGUGCGCAGGCGGUGAUGUAAGACCGAUGUGAAAUCCCCGGGCUUAACCUGGGAACUGCAUUGGUGACUGCAUCGCUAGAGUAUGGCAGAGGGGGGUGGAAUUCCACGUGUAGCAGUGAAAUGCGUAGAGAUGUGGAGGAACACCGAUGGCGAAGGCAGCCCCCUGGGCCAAUACUGACGCUCAUGCACGAAAGCGUGGGGAGCAAACAGG